GACGAACGCUGGCGGCACGCUUAACACAUGCAAGUCGAACGAGAGAAGAGAAGCUUGCUUUUCUGAUCUAGUGGCGGACGGGUGAGUAACACGUGAGCAAUCUGCCUUUCAGAGGGGGAUACCGAUUGGAAACGAUCGUUAAUACCGCAUAACAUAAUUGAACCGCAUGAUUUGAUUAUCAAAGAUUUAUCGCUGAAAGAUGAGCUCGCGUCUGAUUAGCUAGUUGGUAAGGUAACGGCUUACCAAGGCGACGAUCAGUAGCCGGACUGAGAGGUUGAUCGGCCACAUUGGGACUGAGACACGGCCCAGACUCCUACGGGAGGCAGCAGUGGGGAAUAUUGCACAAUGGAGGAAACUCUGAUGCAGCGAUGCCGCGUGAGGGAAGAAGGUUUUAGGAUUGUAAACCUCUGUCUUCAGGGACGAAAAAAGACGGUACCUGAGGAGGAAGCUCCGGCUAACUACGUGCCAGCAGCCGCGGUAAUACGUAGGGAGCGAGCGUUGUCCGGAAUUACUGGGUGUAAAGGGAGCGUAGGCGGGAUCGCAAGUCAGAUGUGAAAACUAUGGGCUUAACCCAUAAACUGCAUUUGAAACUGUGGUUCUUGAGUGAAGUAGAGGUAAGCGGAAUUCCUAGUGUAGCGGUGAAAUGCGUAGAUAUUAGGAGGAACAUCAGUGGCGAAGGCGGCUUACUGGGCUUUAACUGACGCUGAGGCUCGAAAGCGUGGGGAGCAAACAGGAUUAGAUACCCUGGUAGUCCACGCCGUAAACGAUGAUUACUAGGUGUGGGGGGAGUGACCCCUUCCGUGCCGCAGCAAACGCAAUAAGUAAUCCACCUGGGGUGUACGACCGCAAGGUUGAAACUCAAAGGAAUUGACGGGGGCCCGCACAAGCAGUGGAGUAUGUGGAUUAAUUUGAAGCAACGCGAAGAACCUUACCAGGUCUUGACAUCGUAUGCAUAGCUCAGAGAUGAGUGAAAUCUCUUCGGAGACAUAUAGACAGGUGGUGCAUGGUUGUCGUCAGCUCGUGUCGUGAGAUGUUGGGUUAAGUCCCGCAACGAGCGCAACCCUUACUGUUAGUUGCUACGCAAGAGCACUCUAGCAGGACUGCCGUUGACAAAACGGAGGAAGGUGGGGAGGACGUCAAAUCAUCAUGCCCCUUAUGACCUGGGCCUCACACGUACUACAAUGGCUGUCAACAGAGGGAAGCAAAGCCGCGAGGUGGAGCAAACCCCUAAAAGCAGUCUUAGUUCGGAUUGUAGGCUGCAACCCGCCUACAUGAAGUCGGAAUUGCUAGUAAUCGCAGAUCAGCAUGCUGCGGUGAAUAAGUUCCCGGGCCUUGCACU
rnacentral:rRNA from 1 species